UUUCAUGCCCACCAAAUCUCAACAUGUACUGUAAUUUUUGUUUCUUCAUCAUCCAGCCGGGGGACAUGCAAUUGUACUACCCACCAAAUCUCAACCUGUACUGUAGUGUGUGUGUGUGUGUGUGUGUGUGUGUGUGUGUGUGUGUGUGGUUAGACUAAAACUAAAGCAUCCUUCCCUUUUGGAUCUUCAAUUCUGCUAUGAAUGAAUAUGCAGCAGCAACCCAUCUAAGAAAAAUGACACAUAUCCAUGCAAAUCACUAGCACCAAGUCGAGUGCACAUUCCAGUACAAUCUUAUCAGUUAAUGUUCUUGACAAAACUUCUAUAGUCCUGAAAACGGCGGAAUACAGUAUUUUGUUGAGAAAAAAGUGCUAUCUUGUUUUUCUGUAGAGGGAUUUCACUCUUUGCUAUGUGACAGAUUGACAGUUGUGCUUACUAUCUCCAAUGUUGACAUGGAAACUGCAGAAUCAUAUUUGCGCACUGUGGAAAAAGCUGGGAUUGUGAUUGAUAUGCAGGUUAGAUAAUAAGAUCGAGGUUGUUUGUAAAGUUAUGCAGAAGCAACCAUGACAGCCGGUAGCAGUCCUCACAUCUAGAAGGUCACCAGUAUAAUGCCCCUUUGCAUCCACAAGUUUCUAGAGGUGUGUUUGGUGAGCUAAAAAGGAUCUUCUGCUGGGAUAUGUUUCUACCUAAAACCAGAUCUUAUAUUUUGCAUUUUGUCUUUUAUGUAAUACUUUGACUUACGAACCUACAAAUCUAUGCAUGUGUACAUGUAGACCUGAUGGAUGUUCUGUUACUGGACUUGUAUGCCUAUGUGUGCACGUAGGCACACAUGAUGGAAUUUUGUGCUUUUGGCUGUCCUGGACUUAUGAACCUAUGUAUGGAUGAUAGAUUGCUUAUAUAUAUACACGCACACAUUAUCUAUUAAGUGAUGCAAUCUUAAUUACUGGAUGCAUGUGUGUUGUUAUAUAUAGAUGACACAAAAUAGACUGAAGAUAAAUGCUAGUUGUUGAAAUACAUGUAUACAAUAUAC